GGAUGACCAUCAUUGUCAGUUUCUUACGUUUCUGAAAACCUUCAUAUUGCUCAAGGACAAUAUCCUGAAUCUGGAAAUGGUAAGUUUGAAGGCAUUGAUCGGAGGCUUCUUUAGUAGCAAAACGUUUCUGAAGAAGCGUUAGGAAGAUCCGAGCCUCUUUCCGGGUAACCGGAUCCUCCAGUCGUUCAAGGAGUGAUCGGAGCAUACUGUAAGCAGUAUCACCGGACUGCUCACACCGUUUGAGGAAGUCAUCGAUCGACGUACAGAGUCCAUUCACCGCCAUUUCU
rnacentral:misc_RNA from 1 species